ACUGCCGUUGUGCCGGUUGGAUAAAACAGGUAGGAGUUAGUACGGAUCGGAUGAGGUAUUACGCAUUAGUGUUUUUUUAUUUCUUUGUCCAUUACUUCCUUAGGUAAGCAUAUUCAUUAUUAUUUUUUAUUUUUCUAAAUUCCUAUGUCCUUUGUAAUAUGUUAUAAUAACCAUAUUUCCCUCCAAAUAAUAUUAGAUAAAGUUUGCCAACGUAUCACUGCCAUUGCGCUUCUGAAAAACCUUGCACGAACUAAUGCACACUAGCCUUGAACUGGUAGAACACUCUUGAAAAUUUAACACGACAAACCUAUUGAACAUUGGCUUUCAAAUAGUGGAAAAUAUUGGUAAUAAAUUGCAAAUAAAACCAAUCAACUAGGGGAACCAUGACCUUUAAUUCAUGAAACACUUACGAUGAACAGAGAAACAAGAACUCAAAUCUAC
rnacentral:lncRNA from 1 species